rnacentral:rRNA from 1 species
UACAGAGGGUGCAAGCGUUGUUCGGAAUCACUGGGCUUAAAGCGUGUGUAGGCGGGCGGGCAAGUACCUUGUGAAAUCCCACGGCUCAACCGUGGAACGGCUGGGUAUACUGCCUGUCUUGAGCCAACUAGGGGCGAGCGGAACAGACGGUGGAGCGGUGAAAUGCGUAGAUAUCGUCUGGAACGCCGAAGGUGAAAACAGCUCGCUGGGGUUGUGCUGACGCUGAGACACGAAAGCCAGGGGAGCGAACGGG